rnacentral:rRNA from 1 species
GAUAAACGCUGGCGGCGCGCCUAAAACAUGCAAGUCGAACGGGCACCUUCGGGUGUCAGUGGCGGACGGCUGAGUAACACGUGGGUGACCUGCCCUCGAACGGGGGAUAACUGGCCCGAAAGGGUGGCUAAUACCGCAGAUGUCGCAUCUUCGUUGGUGUGACUGAACCGUGUAGGGUUCGAGGAGGGGCCCGCGGCCGAUUAGCUAGCUGGUGGGGUAACGGCCUACCAGGGCUCGAUCGGAGCUGGUCUGAGAGGAUGAUCAGCCAGACUGGGACUGCGAGACGGCCCAGACUCCUACGGGAGGCAGCAGUUAGGAAUUUUGGGCAAUGGGCGAAAGCCUGGACCCAGCAACGCCGCGUGGGUGAUGAAGGCCCUCGGGUCGUAAAGCCCUUUUCCAGGGGAAGAUAGUGACGGUACCCUGGGAAUCAGCCCCGGCUAACUACGUGCCAGCCGCCGCA